rnacentral:ncRNA from 2 species
CUCGCCGGGUCAGGAGAGAGCCCCGCAUGACGGGGCCGCCGAAGGCGCAGGGGUUCCCCGAACGCUCAGGCAAAAGGACUGACAAGACGCC